AACGAUUGCUCACUUCUCAACACUGUGUGUUUUGAAAAAUAUGUAAUCUCAUUCUAUUGUUAAAAAUGACACUUAAAAGAAAUGGUUAAAGUUAAUGAGGUGUGGUGCUAAAUUAAGCCUAUUCUUUGCUUCCUGCAUAUGUAUUUUCACAAUAAACACAAAUUAAUUCACUGAGUAAAGGAAUAAAACCAAUUUUUUUUUUGUGUUCUAAAGAAUAAAAGCAAUGGUAACACUAACAAGAAAAUUUCUGUUUUGGUUUUGUUUAGUAUACCUGUAGAAUAGCAAUUUUGCAUAUGUGCUCACUCACCAUGCCCCAUCUUUUGAAGGCCUAGCCUAGCUUCGAAUUCCAACUCCGAUGGGUCUCGGUUAGUUUCUCCUGCAAAAAGCUCAUUUCAGACUCAAACUUCAGUAGCACUAGUUUUAGCAGUCAACUAAUUCAUAAACAAGAGAGGUAGAAUCUAGCUAAAUAAGAAAUCAAAGGAAAACAGAAAGUGAGAAAUAGUCCACCGAGCCGAGAGCAAUUCUAUAUCCCUUUCAUACCUCAUUUCAUCAUUGCUGCGGAGUCACUACCUCAACCUCUGUGUCAUUUUAUUAGACCUAACACGCUCCUAAUACUAUAAUCAACACAGUUUAACAUAAAAUCCACAUUAUAAAUAAAGUUUCAUAUGCUGCAUUCUGAAGUAAUUACACCCCACCAAUGAUAUAUAGACAUCAAACAUAAAUUACACAACCUACACCAUUGAGGGCCUUGUGGUGAGUCAGUCUUGGAACUUAGUCUGAAACCAACUCUUUAUCUAAAAUUCUGACAAAAGAUAAAGGAACAAUUAAAAGUACUUUUAAAAGAAAGAAAAAAAUACUAAAUACAAAAAAGCCAUAGACUAGUAAGCUAAAAACAAUAAAGGAUCACAUACUCA
rnacentral:lncRNA from 1 species